UCUUUUCUAAGGGAUGAAUUUGCUUCUAGAUACUGCACUGAUAUUCAAUCCAUUGAGUGAAGGAGGAGAGUGACUUACGCUUAUUUUGGCAAACUGCAGGAGUGAUGAACAGUUUGUUUUCAGUUUAUGAUAUUUAUGAUGAUCUAAUAUCUCGAAGAGUCCACUCCAGUGAUGCUGAGAAGUUUGCAGAAAUUUGCCCCUGCCCUUGUAAUGGGGUUGGAUGGGGAGUAAUUUGGUGAGCUUCAUAGCAUGCCAAGAGCAUGAAUAUCCUAGCAUAAACAGGAAAAAAAAAGGCAUGAAUUGUAAUAUUUUAGGGAUAAUUGUCUAGGAUCUAAAAUUAUUUUUGACUAAUGUUAAUGUUUUUCUCACCUUAAUCAUACUUUUAUGAGUUCUUCUUGCAGGGGAAUGAUAUCAUUUAUAUUUCUUUGUGGAUCCAUGUAUCUUGGACUCGUAAUCUUGUCUUGAGGUUCAGAGACUACGGUUCAAACUAUGCUUGAUGCA